rnacentral:rRNA from 1 species
GGCGGACGGGUGAGUAAUGCCUAGGAAUCUGCCUGGUAGUGGGGGAUAACGUCCGGAAACGGGCGCUAAUACCGCAUACGUCCUGAGGGAGAAAGUGGGGGAUCUUCGGACCUCACGCUAUCAGAUGAGCCUAGGUCGGAUUAGCUAGUUGGUGGGGUAAAGGCCUACCAAGGCGACGAUCCGUAACUGGUCUGAGAGGAUGAUCAGUCACACUGGAACUGAGACACGGUCCAGACUCCUACGGGAGGCAGCAGUGGGGAAUAUUGGACAAUGGGCGAAAGCCUGAUCCAGCCAUGCCGCGUGUGUGAAGAAGGUCUUCGGAUUGUAAAGCACUUUAAGUUGGGAGGAAGGGCAGUAAGUUAAUACCUUGCUGUUUUGACGUUACCAACAGAAUAAGCACCGGCUAACUUCGUGCCAGCAGCCGCGGUAAUACGAAGGGUGCAAGCGUUAAUCGGAAUUACUGGGCGUAAAGCGCGCGUAGGUGGUUCANCAAGUUGGAUGUGAAAUCCCCGGGCUCAACCUGGGAACUGCAUCCAAAACUACUGAGCUAGAGUACGGUAGAGGGUGGUGGAAUUUCCUGUGUAGCGGUGAAAUGCGUANNUAUAGGAAGGAACACCAGUGGCGAAGGCGACCACCUGGACUGAUACUGNCACUGAGGUGCGAUAGCGUGGGGAGCAAACAGGAUNAGAUACCCUGNUAGUNCACGNCCGUAAACNAUGUCGACUNGC